rnacentral:misc_RNA from 1 species
AAGUCGUAACAAGGUUUCCGUAGGUGAACCUGCGGAAGGAUCAUUAACAAUUCCAUCAUAUACUUUUACCUUUGUGAACCGACCUCUGGCUGGGUUGGGCUUUAAUUAAUUAUAAGCCUCUUUAACGUCCCGCAGAGGUAAACAAGUAACUGUCGUGUAAGUAGGAAUCUGUGGAUGCCUACUUCAUUACUUUUACUUGCAAACAUAUAGACUAUUUUGUAUGACUAAGCUGUAAUUUUCUAACAAAUACAACUUUUAACAGUGGAUCUCUUGGCUCCU